GACGAACGCUGGCGGCGUGCUUAACACAUGCAAGUCGAACGGAAAGGCCCUGCUUUUGUGGGGUGCUCGAGUGGCGAACGGGUGAGUAACACGUGAGUAACCUGCCCUUGACUUUGGGAUAACUUCAGGAAACUGGGGCUAAUACCGGAUAGGAGCUCCUGCUGCAUGGUGGGGGUUGGAAAGUUUCGGCGGUUGGGGAUGGACUCGCGGCUUAUCAGCUUGUUGGUGGGGUAGUGGCUUACCAAGGCUUUGACGGGUAGCCGGCCUGGGAGGGUGACCGGCCACAUUGGGCCUGAGAUACGGCCCAGACUCCAAUGGGAGGCAGCAGUGGGGAAUAUUGUACAACGGGCGGAAGCCUGAUGCAGCAGCGCCGCGUGCGGGAUGACGUCCUUCGGGUUGUAAACCGCUUUCGCCUGUGACGAAGCGUGAGUGACGGUAAUGGGUAAAGAAGCACCGGCUAACUACGUG
rnacentral:rRNA from 1 species